rnacentral:rRNA from 1 species
GGAAUCUUCCACAAUGGACGCAAGUCUGAUGGAGCAACACCGCGUGAGUGAAGAAGGUCUUCGGAUCGUAAAGCUCUGUUGUUAGAGAAGAACACGAGUGAGAGUAACUGUUCAUUCGAUGACGGUAUCUAACCAGCAAGUCACGGCUAACUACGUGCCAG